AAUAAACCAGUUUUUCAAUUUUUACCUAUAAUUUUUGACUCUUUGUCUUAUUCAUUUUUUUUUGCGAUUGAUAUUUUUGUUUUUAUUAGAUGAUAAAUCAUGAAUAAUACUUUACGUGUGACUAUUUUUUUUAAUUUCCUAAAUUUUUUUCAGAUAAGACGGAUGGUCAAAUGUUGGAUACGAAAACUGAAG
rnacentral:pre_miRNA from 1 species